UCAGGACUCCUCAGUUCACAUUCUCAUGAUGAGGCUCACUGCUCAGCUCCUGGGGCUGCUAAUGCUCUGGGUCCCUGGAUCCAGUGGGGACGUUGUGAUGACCCAGACUCCACUCUCCCUGCCUGUCACCCCUGGAGAGCCAGCCUCCAUCUCCUGCAGGUCUAGUCAGAGCCUCCUGUAUAGUAAUGGAAACACCUAUUUGGAUUGGUACCUGCAGAAGCCAGGCCAGUCUCCACAGCUUCUAAUCUAUAAAGUUUCCAACAGGGCCUCUGGGGUCCCAGACAGGUUCAGUGGCAGUGGGUCAGGGACAGAUUUCACACUGAAAAUCAGCCGUGUGGAGACGGAGGAUGUUGGAGUUUAUUACUGCAUGCAAGGUACAAAAAAUCCUCCCACAGUGCUACAGCCCUGAACACUAACCUCUCUG